GAUGAACGCUGGCGGCGUGCCUAAUACAUGCAAGUCGAGCGAACGGACGAGAAGCUUGCUUCUCUGAUGUUAGCGGCGGACGGGUGAGUAACACGUGGAUAACCUACUUAUAAGACUGGGAUAACUUCGGGAAACCGGAGCUAAUACCGGAUAAUAUUUUGAACCGCAUGGUUCAAAAGUGAAAGACGGUCUUGCUGUCACUUAUAGAUGGAUCCGCGCUGCAUUAGCUAGUUGGUAAGGUAACGGCUUACCAAGGCAACGAUGCAUAGCCGACCUGAGAGGGUGAUCGGCCACACUGGAACUGAGACACGGUCCAGACUCCUACGGGAGGCAGCAGUAGGGAAUCUUCCGCAAUGGGCGAAAGCCUGACGGAGCAACGCCGCGUGAGUGAUGAAGGUCUUCGGAUCGUAAAACUCUGUUAUUAGGGAAGAACAUAUGUGUAAGUAACUGUGCACAUCUUGACGUUACCUAAUCAGAAAGCCACGGCUAACUACGUG
rnacentral:rRNA from 1 species